rnacentral:lncRNA from 1 species
AAGGAGGUAGGUUGGUUCUUGAGUCUGAAGUUCAGAAGAGAGGUCAGGGCUUGAGUGUCAUUGGCAUGAAUAAGGAAUUUAAAGCCUGACACGAGUGAGAUCAUCAGAGAAAAUAUAAAUACAGAAGAGGAAAAAGCCCAGGACAGGACCCUGAAACACUGCAAAGUUUAGAGUUCUAGUAGAAAAGGAAGAGCAAACAAAGGAGACGCCUUGGGAAAACUGGAGAAUAUGAUACCUCAGAAAUGAAGUAAAAAAUUUUAGGAAGAGGUAGGUGAAUUGGGUUCAAUGUUUCUGAAAGAUCAAGUAACAGAAAUGACCACUGGAUUUGGCAACAUGAAGAUCACUGGUGAUCUUGUAAACACAGUCUCAGUGGAAUCAUGAUGAUGGAAGUCUACUUGAAGAGAUUGAGAAAGUGUUGUUCUAUCCAGUACCUCUGUGAAUUGUCUUUCCUGGUGAUCCUGUCACCUGCAAACCAUGCAGUGGGAUGACAUCCUCGGACUGCUCCUCCUUACGGUAGGCAACAGGUGUUACUUGCU